GGUAGCGGCUCAGUGGUAGAGUACUUGCCUUGCAUGCAUGAGGCCCUGGGUUCAAUUCCUCAGCACCA
rnacentral:tRNA from 1 species